CUCCAAGCAGAUCUCUUCAACUACCUGUGAAAACUGAUGUGAUGAAAAGGGGAAUUUGAAGGAGCCAUUCCAGAAGACAGGGCGAAAACUGAAGUGCAAUCAGGGCCAAGAAAAACAGAAAUAGCAGGACCUGGAGUUGGCAGCCUUGGCAUGGUCAGGUUGGCACCUCUGGAGGUGCCCAGGCUUCCCUGGCAGCAUUGUGAGCAGUGGAUGGUGUUGAAGGGCAGCCAGAGGAGGAAUGGAACACAUGCUCCUUGCUAACCACACGGACAAGGCCACGUUCACAGGUACACAAAGGCAACGCAGUUGCUCAGGUGCUUCGGUAUCACAGCCAAGACCCCUUCGGGGGAAGCUAGUCGGAUACUGGGACCCACAUUCCAGACUACUGAGCCGCGGUCGCGCCCUCGGCUCCGUUUCUGCUCCCUCCACCCCACGAGGACGGGGGUGGAAGGCCACCUUCGAUGGGUGCAUCCUCCACGAUGACCUGCUAACAAAGGUGCAUGGAUUUCAGAGUCUGAUUGGCCUACAACAGCAUUUGGCUUGUGGAGACAGUGGUUCCCUGAUGAAAAACUGCCAUGAUGUAAGGAAGAGCCUGUCAGAGCGAGGCUGGGGUGCUGCGUGUUGGGGAGGUGGAGGUGUGGCUUCCCGGGAGAAGCUCCACCCGCUGGCUGAGUCUGGCACAUAAACCAGUCUGUGAGGGGAUGGAUGUGGGUGUAAUGGGGGCAAUUACAGUAGGAAGGAGCCCACGUGGAGCCUGCAUUCUCUGGGACAGGGCAUUACUGCAUUCUCUGGGACAGGCUAAGGCCCAGAUCCUACCUUCCCAGGUGGCUGGAUGGGUCAUAGAUGUAUGAACCGGUCCCCUCAUUUUCUGAUUGCCCUGUGCUUAACGUUUCUGUACCUUUACUGAGGCUCUUUCCUCCAACUCCAGUGCCCAGACCCCCCUUCUCCUGAACAUGAAUGCCUGUCCAUGGAAAUUCGAGUCUCUCUCUCUCACCCAGGCUGGAGUGCAGUGAUGCAAUCUCAACUCACUGCAACCUCUGCCUCCCAGGUUCAAGUGAUUCUUGUGCCUCAGCCUCUGGAGUAUCUAGGAUCACAGGUGCGUGCCACCAUGUCUGGCUAAUGUUUUGUAUUUAUAGUAGAGAUGGGUUUCGACAUAUUGGCCAGGCUGGUCUUGAUCUCCUGGCCUCAAAGUGAUCUACCCACCUGGGCCUCCCAAAUUGCUGGGAUUACAGUUGUGAGCCACCACACCCAGCCUGUCCCUGAAAUUCUAAUGAAAUGUGCGAUAAAGUUGUUUUGUUUUUCUUUUUGUUUUCCCUUCUUGGCAAAGCCUGGUGUUUCUAUUUUAGUGGAUUUGCCUGGCACUGAGGACUGCUAUGGUGGUCUUCAGAGGCUCCUGGUAUUGACUGCUUGUGAAACCGCUUUUGCAAAAUUAUGACUGAGACAGUGAAAGAGAUCUAACUUAACCGACCCAAUCUUGCUUCUAACCUCCAAAUUGUCCUUAUUCAUUCCUGAGCAUAGCCUGAACUAACUUUGGGAGAAGCUUAGUUUAUAUUUUAUUUUAUAGUUUAAAACAAAGAUGUUAACAGCCCUUUCCCAAGGCAGACUUCCUUCUUGCCUGGGGACUAGGUUGCCUUUGGAGGACUAACAUUAGCCACGAGAUUAGAAAUUAUGGGCUGGGCCUCGUGGCUCACCCCUGUAAUCCCAGCACUUUGGGAGGCCACGGCAGGUAGAUCACCUGAGGUCAGGAGUUCAAGACCAGCCUGGCCAACGUGGUGAAACCCCAUCUCUACUAAAGAAUACAAAAAUUAGCCGGUUAUGGUGGCACAUGCCUAUACUGCCAGCUACUUGGGAAGCUGAGGUGGGAGGAUCGCUUGAACCUGGGAGGCGGCGUGGAGGUUGCAGUGAGCCAGGAUCUUGCCACUGCACUCCAGCUUGGGCGACAGAGUGAGACUCUGUCUCAAAAAAAAAAAGUUUAGAAAUUAUGCUUUAGGAGUCAUGCAGCUGGAGGCUACAAGAUUCUGACCCUCCCUAAACUGCUCCUAAGAUCAGUGCUUGAGAUAUUUUGCAGACCCUGCACUUGAUGGAUCAGCUGGCACCACCCAGACUGAUUAACUGGCUCAUGUGAUCUUGUGGUCCCCACCCAGGAACUUAAUCAGCACAAGGAGACAGCUUCAACUCCCUAUGAUUUCAUCCCUGACCAAUCAGCACUCCUGGGCUCACUGGCUUCCCCCUACCCACCAAGUUGUCCUUAAAAAGUCUGCUCCCCAAAUGCUCGGGUAGACUGAUUUGGGUAAUAAUAAAACUCCGGUCUCCC
rnacentral:lncRNA from 1 species